rnacentral:rRNA from 1 species
CAUGUCUUUUUGAUUAUAAUUUAAAGUCUAAUCUGCUCAAUGAGGAUUUAAAUUGCCGCGGUAUCUUGACCGUGCAAAGGUAGCAUAAUAAUUAGUUUUUUUAUUGAAAGCUGGAAUGAAUGAUUGGACGAGAGAAUUACUGUCUCUAUGAGAUUUAUAUUUAAACUUAACUUUUGAGUUAAAAGGCUCAAAUAUUUUUUAAAGACGAGAAGACCCUAUAGAGUUUAACAAUUAGGAGUAAUUAUUUAGGGUAUUGGAAUAUAAGACUUUUAAAUUUACUAGUUGUUUAGUUGGGGUGACUUGAAGAUAAGAAUAACUCUUCUAAUAGUUAAAAUCAUUGAUUUGUGAAAUUUUAAUCUAGGAUUUCUAAAUAUAAGAUAAAUUACCUUAGGGAUAACAGCGUAAUUUCUUUUUAGAGUUCUUAUUGGAAAAGAAGAUUGCGACCUCGAUGUUGGAUUAAAAUUAUUAUUUGGUGUAGUAGCUGAAUUAUUAGGUCUGUUCGACCUUUAAAUUUUUACAUGAUCUGAGU